CCUACGGGGGGCAGCAGUGGGGAAUAUUGCGCAAUGGGCGAAAGCCUGACGCAGCGACGCCGCGUGAGGGAUGAAGGUCUUCGGAUCGUAAACCUCUGUCAGCAGGGAAGAACGGUCACUGUGCUAAUCAGCAGUGAAUUGACGGUACCUGCAAAGGAAGCACCGGCUAACUCCGUGCCAGCAGCCGCGGUAAUACGGAGGGUGCGAGCGUUAAUCGGAAUUACUGGGCGUAAAGCGCUCGUAGGCGGUAUGUCAAGUCAAGGGUGAAAUCCCCGCGCUCAACGUGGGAACUGCCGUUGAAACUGGCAAACUGGAGUGUGUGAGAGGAGAGUGGAAUUCCAGGUGUAGGAGUGAAAUCCGUAGAUAUCUGGAGGAACAUCAGUGGCGAAGGCGACUAUCUGGAACAUAACUGACGCUGAGGAGCGAAAGCGUGGGUAGCAAACAGGAUUAGAUACCCUGGUAGUC
rnacentral:rRNA from 1 species